rfam:Myotis brandtii contig322541, whole genome shotgun sequence.
GGUUGUUCUCGGGUGACACAUCCCGGAAUUGGGCUUUCUCCUCUCUGGUUCUGGAUGCAUUAUUCGAAAACCACA